rnacentral:rRNA from 1 species
CCUACGGGAGGCAGCAGUGAGGAAUAUUGGUCAAUGGACGAGAGUCUGAACCAGCCAAGUAGCGUGAAGGAUGACUGCCCUAUGGGUUGUAAACUUCUUUUAUAUGGGAAUAAAACGUUCCACGUGUGGGAUUUUGUAUGUACCAUAUGAAUAAGGAUCGGCUAACUCCGUGCCAGCAGCCGCGGUAAUACGGAGGAUCCGAGCGUUAUCCGGAUUUAUUGGGUUUAAAGGGAGCGUAGGUGGAUUGUUAAGUCAAUUGUGAAAGUUUGCGGCUCAACCGUAAAAUUGCAGUUGAAACUGGCAGUCUUGAGUACAGUAGAGGUGGGCGGAAUUCGUGGUGUAGCGGUGAAAUGCUUAGAUAUCACGAAGAACUCCGAUUGCGAAGGCAGUUCACUGGACUGCAACUGACACUGAGGCUCGAAAGUGUGGGUAUCAAACAGGAUUAGAUACCCUUGUAGUC